rnacentral:rRNA from 1 species
UACGUAGGCAGCAAGCGUUGUUCGGAAUUAUUGGGCGUAAAGAGCGAGCAGGCGGUUUGGAAAGUUGGACGUGAAAUUUUAGGGCUUAACCCUAAAGGGUCGUCCAAAACUCCCAGACUAGAGUGCAGGAGAGGAAAGCGGAAUUCCCGGUGUAGUGGUGAAAUGCGUAGAUAUCGGGAGGAACACCAGAGGCGAAGGCGGCUUUCUGGCCUGUAACUGACGCUGAGGCGCGAAGGCUGGGGUAGCGAACAGG